AACGAACGCUGGCGGCAUGCCUAACACAUGCAAGUCGAACGAAACCUUCGGGUCUUGUGGCGCACGGCUGCGUAACGCGUGGGAACCUGCCCUUAGGUUCGGAAUACCUCCCCGAAAGGGAUGCUAAUACCGGAUAAUGUCUUCGGACCAAAGAUUUAUUGCCUUUGGGUGGGCCCUCGUUGGAUUAGCUAGUUGGUAGGGUAAAAGCCUACCAAGGCGACGAUCCAUAGCUGGUCUGAGAGGAUGAUUAGCCACACUGGGACUGAGACACGGCCCAGACUCCUACGGGAGGCAGCAGUGGGGAAUAUUGGACAAUGGGCGAAGGCCUGAUCCAGCAAUGCCGCGUGAGUGAUGAAGGCCUUAGGGUUGUAAAGCUCUUUUACCCGGGAUGAUAAUGACAGUACCGGGAGAAUAAGCGCCGGCUAACUCCGUG
rnacentral:rRNA from 1 species